AGGUGUUGAACUUGUAAAGUAUAUAUUUUGAAAAUAUAAUAAAGAGGUAAACCUCUAACAUCUU
rnacentral:tRNA from 1 species